CUCAUUCUGUGAUACAGAUCUUGACAUUCCUCCUGCAUAACAUCAAAUGUUAUAAUUAUGAAUCCAUGGAAGGAAACUGUUGCUUACUUAGUUCCAGUGCCUAUAAGGAAAGGAGAAAUUAGAGAAAAAUCUUAUUACCACUGUAUUCAUACCUCAGAAAAGUCAUCAUCUGAAAUUUUGGAGAUAGAUAAAGAAUGUCAACUAUGCAUGUAAGAAAGAUGGCUAGUAUAACAGCAUCAGGAAUGUUGACCUUCCACAGCAAUGUACUGUGCCUAAAGAAAGAACAAAGUAAAAUAUGCUUGAGAUUUUAUAUUUCAUUUAUAUUUAGAUAUGCGUUUUGAAUACAA